AUUGAACGCUGGCGGCAGGCCUAACACAUGCAAGUCGAGCGGCAGCGGGAAAGUAGCUUGCUACUUUUGCCGGCGAGCGGCGGACGGGGGAGUAAUGCCUGGGAAAUUGCCCAGUCGAGGGGGAUAACAGUUGGAAACGACUGCUAAUACCGCAUACGCCCUACGGGGGAAAGCAGGGGACCUUCGGGCCUUGCGCGAUUGGAUAUGCCCAGGUGGGAUUAGCUGGUUGGUGAGGUAAUGGCUCACCAAGGCGACGAUCCCUAGCUGGUCUGAGAGGAUGAUCAGCCACACUGGAACUGAGACACGGUCCAGACUCCUACGGGAGGCAGCAGUGGGGAAUAUUGCACAAUGGGGGAAACCCUGAUGCAGCCAUGCCGCGUGUGUGAAGAAGGCCUUCGGGUUGUAAAGCACUUUCAGCGAGGAGGAAAGGUUGUUGGCUAAUAUCCAACAGCUGUGACGUUACUCGCAGAAGAAGCACCGGCUAACUCCGUGCCAGCCGCCGCCGUAACAC
rnacentral:rRNA from 1 species